UUUUUAGCUACGAAGGGAUGGAAGGUGAACCCGAUUUACCCGAAUACCGCGUGCCUGUUGAAGGAGACGACAAAGAAGUUAUUAUUCGUGUGGAAUCUGCGAGAAGUGUUGUUGUUCGUUCACUCAUCUUUAUUCGCGCGAGUGUUUUAGAAAAUCAAGAAUUAAAUUUCAAGGAGGCAACGAAGCUAUUCAGGGAAUGAUUUUGUCAAAUGAGUGGAGCAUGCUUCAAUGGCGACGUUUUUCUUUCUUGAAUAAUUUAU